rnacentral:rRNA from 1 species
GGCUACCAUGCAGUCGAGCGGAACGAGUUAUCUGAACCUUCGGGGGACGAUAACGGCUUCGAGCGGCGGACGGGUGAGUAAUGCCUAGGAAAUUGCCCUGAUGUGGGGGAUAACCAUUGGAAACGAUGGCUAAUACCGCAUGAUGCCUACGGGCCAAAGAGGGGGACCUUCGGGCCUCUCGCGUCAGGAUAUGCCUAGGUGGGAUUAGCUAGUUGGUGAGGUAAGGGCUCACCAAGGCGACGAUCCCUAGCUGGUCUGAGAGGAUGAUCAGCCACACUGGAACUGAGACACGGUCCAGACUCCUACGGGAGGCAGCAGUGGGGAAUAUUGCACAAUGGGCGCAAGCCUGAUGCAGCCAUGCCGCGUGUGUGAAGAAGGCCUUCGGGUUGUAAAGCACUUUCAGUCGUGAGGAAGGUAGUGUAGUUAAUAGCUGCAUUAUUUGACGUUAGCGACAGAAGAAGCACCGGCUAACUCCGUGCCAGCAGCCGCGGUAAUACGGAGGGUGCGAGCGUUAAUCGGAAUUACUGGGCGUAAAGCGCAUGCAGGUGGUUUGUUAAGUCAGAUGUGAAAGCCCCGGGGCUCAACCUCGGAAUUGCCUUUUGAAACUGGGCAGACUAGAGUACUGUAGAAGGGUAGCGGGAAUUCCUGGGUGUAGCAGUGAAAAUGCGUACAGAUCAGGAGGAACAUCCAUGG